ensembl:lncRNA
GGUUCAUGGGCAAUGGCCUUCGAUUAGAAUAGUACCGCUCCUUGAGUGGCAGUUCUAGAAAUCUCAGCAUCACGAGAGGCUGUAAUUGCUUCCAGUGUUAUCUGCUUUGUUGUCUUGUCAUUUUAUUUCUUAGCUGUUUUAUAUUCUGGGCACAGAACCAGCUGGGGAAGAUACCAACCCAGUGGUGUCAUUGCUGGUGGCUCGCUGCUGGUACCGUCUGUUUAAACCUUGGCUUUUAAUCCAGGUCCUUCUUAUUGUUCAUGGUGGGUCACUUGGAAGGAUGUGGUUCCAUUUGAUCCCAUUUAGUGAAUCCUGCUUGCUCUACCUUCAGGAUAUAUCCAGCUGCUGCCCCUGCCAUCCUGUCCAGGCCAUUGCCACCUCUUGUCUGAAUCAUCACAGAGCCUCUAACACGUCUCCCUUCAUCCUUUUGCCCCUGACACGGUGGAGAAGAGACCAAACAGCUGCCAGAGAUCCUCAGCAUGGCGCCCUGGGGCACCGAGGACGCGUGUGCUGCUGUGAAAGCAGAAGCCAGAAUUCUCAUGAUGACUUCAGGGCCCCCUGUGACUCGGCCCCUACGUCCUUCUCUUCAUGCCCUCGCACACUUCUCACCUCUCAUUCUAUUCCAGCCACAGGGGUCUGGCUUCCGUUCCCUGAACUCUCAUGCCCUGAGGCCUUUGCACUCGCUGUCCCUUCUGCCCACACUGCUCUUCUCUAGGGUAUCUGACAGCUCACUCCCUCACCUCUUUCAGGGCUUUCAAAUGCCACCUUCCUCAUGGAGCCUUCCUGGUCAUUCUAUUCAUAAUUUCUCCCCUAAUGGAAACCCUUCACCCCACUAUGUCCCUGAUUUCAUUUUCUCUUUAGAACUUAUGAUGAUCUGACAUACAUAUUUAUAUUAUAUAUUUUAUAUACUUAUUGUGUUGAUUGUCUUUUUCCUGCACAAGAAUAUGAAGUCUAUGAAGAAAUAGUUUUUUUAAAAGUUCUAUCCAGGGCUUCCCUGGUGGUUCAGUGGUUAAGAAUCUGCCUGCCAAUGCAGAGGACACAGGUUUGAUGCCUGGUCUGGGAGGAUCCCACAUGCCACUAAGCCCAUGUGCCACAACUACUGAAGCUGGCACACACUAGAGCCUGUGCUCGGCAACAAGAGAAGCCUCUGCAAUGAGAAGCCUGCGCACCACAACUUGAGAGAGCCCACGUGCAGUGAUGAAGACCCCGUGGAC